CUCUCUCCCUCUGCUCUCUAAGACUCUUCAUAUAGAUCUGCGUAUAAUCCAUCUAAUUCAAGAACUGAAGAUGUCGAGGAAUAGAUUCAUGGUUUCAAUUUUAUCUCCGAAUGUGGAAUUCUUCGUCAAUGUCGCAACAUCUUUCAAUCGGACCACGAAAUAGCUGAUCUGACUUUAGGCGAUUGAAGUUUUCGUUUACAUAACGUGUGUUGUUGCCGCUUUGACCCGUUCCCUUGCAAUUGUUAAGGUACCAGAUGAGGAAACCACAUUUAAUGCCCCCAAUAAGCAAGAACACAUGGACUAGAAUUUUAGAUUUCGUUUGACGUGAGCAGAGUUGUUGAUGGUCGUAGGCUACAGUCCAUCACAUGGCAUAAAGGAAGAGGGGGAUGGUGGUUUUGAAAGUCGAUGGUAUCAGAGAUGCUAUAGAUAUAUUGCAGCCAUGGAGGCCAUGAAAGAGGUUUCGGUUGCCGAAAGCAUGCUUCAAGGUAUAAGGAAAAGAUUGACAACUAAAAAGUGAAGUUGCUACCGUGGUUAAGUGGUGAAGCUCACUCUUUGCUUAAAGGGUUGUUGCAAAAGUACCCGACACUAAGGCUUGGAAGCUGGACUCGAGGUUGUCAUGAUAUCAAAAAUCAUAAAUGGGUCAACGAAAUAGCAAGUGAAUCUUAAAGAAAAACUGGUUUGAAGAUGGGUAUAAAUUUCAAAGCAGACUAGACUCACUUUAUCAGCACCAGAGAUGGACACCAUAUUUCUACUCAGGUUAAAUGGGCUCUUGAGUGGAAACAGGCGCUGACCUAGGAUGAAGUUGAGGAUGAGGUGCAUCUAAUUUUGGGGCUGCUGCAUAUUACGCAUAUUAAGGACGAGCUGGACAGGUUGGGUUGGCUGUACCGGGGAAUGUUGGCGGAGUUCACAUUAAAACAAAUCAGAUUUUAGUUUACUAGGGGUCCAAAUAAUAAUACGGGUCAUAACAGGUUCUACUGGAAUAAGAUUGCAGUUCCAAAAGUUAGUUGUUUUGUUUGGAUAGCGGUCAACGGCUAUGGCCUUUGUGGCGAGGGCCGUUGAGAUGGGAAAUGUCCCAUGUAUGGUAUACGGGAUGAGACUGUAGAUCAUUUACUUGCAGGUUGUAUAAGUGCUAGAGCGAUAUGUUGGAGCAUGCUCUUAAAAUGAACAAACCAGCAAAGGAGAACCUAUUAUCUAUAUGUUUUUCUUAAUGACCAUUUGGAAGAUGUGUACGCGUCGAAAUGACAAGGCUUUUAGAGAAAAAGUAUGUCCUGAUGCAAAAGUUUUGUUAGAGGAAAAGUCUGUUCUUGAUGACCAUUUGGAAGAUGCGGACGCGUCAAAGUGCGGGUCUGUCCUUGAAUAGCUGGAGCAAUUUUGAUGUUGGUUUAUAACGUUCAUGCGGGUUUUAGCAUUAUUUUUUUUUUUUUGGAUUAUGUAAGUUUAUUUUUUUUGAGUUUUUUUGGGUUGUAUGCUCU
rnacentral:lncRNA from 1 species